rnacentral:rRNA from 1 species
CGAGUCAUUGUAGCAAUACAGGCAUACGGCUCAGUAACGCGUAGUCCACCUAACCUAUGGACGGGAAUAACCUCGGGAAACUGAGAAUAAUGCCCGAUAGAACAUUAUGCCUGGAAUGGUUUAUGUUCCAAAUGAUUUAUCGCCGUAGGAUGGGACUGCGGCCUAUCAGUUUGUUGGUGAGGUAAUGGCCCACCAAGACUAUUACAGGUACGGGCUCUGAGAGGAGUAGCCCGGAGAUGGGUACUGAGACACGGACCCAGGCCCUAUGGGGCGCAGCAGGCGAGAAAACUUUGCAAUGUGCGAAAGCACGACAAGGUUAAUCCGAGUGGUUUCUGCUAAAGAAACCUUUUGUCAGUCCUAGAAACACUGAUGAAUAAGGGGUGGGCAAGUUCUGGUGUCAGCCGCCGCGGUAAAACCAGCACCUCAAGUGGUCAGGAUGAUUAUUGGGCCUAAAGCAUCCGUAGCCGGCUCUGUAAGUUUUCGGUUAAAUCUGUACGCUCAACGUACAGGCUGCCGGGAAUACUGCAGAGCUAGGGAGUGGGAGAGGUAGACGGUACUCGGUAGGAAGGGGUAAAAUCCUUUGAUCUAUUGAUGACCACCUGUGGCGAAGGCGGUCUACCAGAACACGUCCGACGGUGAGGGAUGAAAGCUGGGGGAGCAAACCGGAUUAGAUACCCGGGUAGUCCCAGCU